GACGAACGCUAGCGGCGGGCUUAACACAUGCAAGUCGAAGGGUAACGCCCUGCUUUUGUGGUGUGCUCGAGUGCCGCACGCGGGUGUAACCCGAGCGUAUCCUGACCUUGACUUUGAGUUAACUUCAGGAAGGUGGGGCUCAUACCAGUUAUCCGCUCAUUCUUAAUUGUGCCGGUUCAAAAGAUUCAGGGGUUGGGGCUGUACUUGGGGCUUAUCAGCUUUUUGGUGGUGUAGGGGCUUACCAAGGACUUGACGGGUAGCCGGCCUGAGAGGGUGACCGGCACCGUUGAGACUGAGAUACGGCCCAGCAGUCAGCGGGAGGCAGCAGUGGGGAAUAUUGCACAAUGGGCGGAAGCCGGAUGGAGAAACGCCGCGUGCGGGAUGACGGCUUUCGGGUUGUAAACCGAUUUCGCCUGUGACGAAGCGUGAGGAACGGUAAUGGGUAAAGAAGCACCGGCUAACUACGU
rnacentral:rRNA from 1 species